GUGAGGAAUUUUCCGCAAUGGGCGAAAGCCUGACGGAGCAAUGCCGCGUGAAGGAUGAAGGCCUAUGGGUUGUAAACUUCUUUUCUCAGAAAAGAAUUAUGACGGUAUCUGAGGAAUAAGCAUCGACUAACUCUGUGCCAGCAGCCGCGGUAAGACAGAGGAUGCAAGCGUUAUCCGGAAUGAUUGGGCGUAAAGCGUCUGUAGGUUGUUUAAAAAGUAUUCUGUCAAAGAUUAGGGCUUAACCCUAGAUAGGCAGAAUAAACUUUUAAGCUAGAGUUUGGUAGAGGCAGAGGGAAUUCCCGGUGGAGCGGUGAAAUGCGUAGAUAUCGGGAGGAACACCAAAGGCGAAGGCACUCUGCUGGGCCAAUACUAACACUGAGAGACGAAAGCGAGGGGAGCAAAUGGGAUUAGAUACCCUAGUAGUCC
rnacentral:rRNA from 1 species